rnacentral:rRNA from 1 species
GAUGAACGCUGGCGGCGCGCCUAAUACAUGCAAGUCGAGCGCGGAGAUGAGGAGCUUGCUCCUCUGAUCCGAGCGGCGGACGGGUGAGUAACACGUAGGCAACCUACCCAUCAGACCGGGAUAACCGCGGGAAACCGUGGCUAAUACCGGAUGACCCUUCGAAACACAAGUUUUGAAGUUGAAAGGCGCUUUUGGUGCCGUUGAUGGAUGGGCCUGCGGCGCAUUAGCUAGUUGGUGAGAUAACGGCUCACCAAGGCGACGAUGCGUAGCCGACCUGAGAGGGUGAUCGGCCACACUGGGACUGAGACACGGCCCAGACUCCUACGGGAGGCAGCAGUAGGGAAUCUUCCGCAAUGGACGAAAGUCUGACGGAGCAACGCCGCGUGAGUGAAGAAGGGUUUCGACUCGUAAAACU